rnacentral:lncRNA from 1 species
UGUGUGUGUGUGUGUGUGUGUGUGUGUGUUUUCCCCCUUUACCUCUUUUGGCUGACGCACUAUUUGGGUUCCCUUGAAGGAGAUUCAGAGACAAGGAUUGAGGUUCAAGUAGUUUAUCUGGAAGGAGACCCUGGAAGGGGAAGUAAGGGAGUGGGGAUGAGACAGAGAAAGAUGGAGAGCCCAUGGGUACUGUAGUCGAAAGCUGACUACCUACUGCUGGGGACAGCCGCAUAGAAUUCAGAAUGUCUACAGAAUUUUCCACAGUCGAGGCAGGGGGAGGCUAGGACCCUCAUCCACUGAUCUCCAUCUCCCAUUGGUUGAGGGCUUCUCCCAGCGGUGUUAGAACCCCCAUACUGAUGGACUGUGCCUGCUUGUCCCUAGGUGUCCUUCUAGGGCACACCUGACUCGGGCCCCUGCAACAGAGUGGGAGGGUCCACUACAGUGGCACUAGAAACUGGUGGGCCAAGGAGAUGUGGCACCAAGCGGCACACAUCCCACUAAGCUGGGCUUACCUUGGGGUUGGCGUCAGUCUUUGAGUCCACAUGGCAGUGCGAGGCUCCUGUCACAUGGUGACCCAGUGGGAACCAGAGGUCUGGUGUCAGUGGGAAGGCGGGCCAAGCCAGGCCCCCUCUCAUUGGUGUUCACAAAGCUCGUUAGAGUAAGAAUCUAAAUUCUGAACUCCUAUGUGAUAAUUUCAGAAUGUCACCUAGAUUUUACUUUUUAUUUUUUAAUCUUUUUAGCACUACGCCUGUAGCAUAUGAAAGUUUCUGGGUUAGGGGUCAAAUCGGAGCCAUAGCUGCUGGCCUAUGCCACAGCCACAGCAAUGCCAGAUUCCAGCCACCUCUGCGAUCUAUGCUGCAGCUUGCAGCCAAACACUGGAUCCUUAACCCAAUGAGCAAGGGCAGGGAUUGAACCUGCAUCCUCACAGAUACUGUGUAGGGUUCAUAACCUGCUGAACCACAAAGGGAAUUCCCAGAUUUUACUUUUUUUUUCCAUCUUUUUAGGGCUGCACCCACGAUGUAUGGAAGUUCUCAGGCUAGGGGUCCAGUCAGAGCUGUAGCCACUGGCCUAAGCCUCAGCCACAGCAAUGUGAGAACCAAGCCACAUCUGUGACCUACACCAGAGCUCACAGCAAUGCCAGAUCCUUAACCCACUGAGUGAGGCCAGGGAUUGAACCUGCGUCCUCAUGGAUGCUAGUCAGAUUUGUUUCCACUGAGCCACCAUGGGAAGUCCCCCAGAUUUUACAUUUAGAGUCACCCCCCAAAACCAAGUUCUGGACCGGUUCUGCUCGUUUCAUUUUAUUUCAUUUUUACUCUAUUUUAAAUAUGGGCCACAUGCCAUCCACCUUUUAUACUUGCCCACUGUGUACCUUGAAAGCACCCAUAAACUCCCUCACACUGGAGUAGAGCCAAAUCUGGGGCUCAAGGAAUAGUGAUUGGGGUUUCUUUCUGUAAUUAGGUAACGAUAAACCAACUUGGCUCUAAAACUCCAAAGUCAAGCUCUCAGUAGCCCCUUCAAACAUCCAUGCGGCGCUACCUUUGGGUUCCCACAAUAUUGUAUCAGAAGGUUUAAAUGUCACGUCAGGCUGGAACAUUUGUUACAUAUCAGAAAAGAAUGAAGUGAAAAUUGCUGGGUUCGCCUCUCAGCGAAGCUUCAUUUGUUAGCUGGGUUUACCUGCCUGGCUCUAAGGCAUAACCUGACUCUUCCAGCCUGGCCUAAUUUUCACGUCAACCUUAUUGGCCAGGAAGGUCCCUGUGAGGCCUCGGCCACUUCCCCUGGGCAUCAUCUUAACCACUCAGCACUGCAAUUCUAGUAACCUUUAGGUCCCUGGUCCAGGAAUCCGGGAGGCUGUUUUUCCCUAGCGUUUCUGGUGACGUCAACCCACACACAUGGCGUCAAUCAUGCUGGUCAGUAUUUCUUUCUUUUUCUUCCUAAGUUUUUGUUUGGGGAGGGGAAGAGGGUUUUGGUCACACUUCAGGGAGGAGUGUUGCUUUGGGGCAGCAUGAGCUUGGCAAUUGUCUCAGCUCCUCACUGUCUUAGGUCUCUGCUGACAAACCCUUCUGAUAGUCUUCAGGCCUUUCAGGUCAAAAUGGUUGCCUUCUGCCUCUUACCUUUGCAGGCCUGAUUGUGUUUGAAAAAUAGAUUUUCCAGAUGGACGGCAGGUCACAGAGCCUCCUUGGCGGUGUCAGGGACACUUCAGCUGUGUUUUACCCGCUGCCAAGAACCAAUAACAGAGUGUAGGAUUUUUUUUUUUUUUCCUCCUGUGGGAGAAGGUGGUAAGGCUCUAAGUGCUGUGACGGAUUCGGCAUUAGGGCGUUCCUGAGGCCACGUGUGGAAGGACACUCUGCUUUCAUUCCACAGUCAUGCAAGGUGGAGGGUACUUUCUCAAAAAACUCUUGAAUUAAUCUCUUGGUACCAAUACCUUUUCAAAUUUGUUUCUGGACGUUUAACUUUUACUUCAAACGUAAUGGUCUAAGGGCUAUGAAAACCCAGAGAGAAACUUGAGUGAACACCUACUAUAUCUUGAAGUGGUUAUAAUUUAUAUCCUGUGAGGAAUGGCUUGCUGAAAGUGCAUAUUCAUUUCCAUUGCUAGGUUGGCUUUUUGGCUGAUCUAAUUCUUUAUCACCAUUUAGCUUAUGAAACACCUAUUGGUGCAGUCUGAAGUGACCUUUUGCAUUCCUACUGACAGUUGAUAGAUAGAUAGGCAUAAAUUAGGAUAUAGAGGUUUCCUUUUUGAAAAAUCGGUGGCUUUUAACCCUUCUGAGGAUUAAGAAAGCAAUUAAAAUACAUGAUUGUUAUUUAAAACUUUGUUCCAAGUCCUAGCUUGAUGUUUAUGGAUGUUUUAGAUAGUACUUUAAUACAAUGUACUAUUGGUUAGUGCUUUUUCCUACUGUUAUGGAGUGUUAUCUGCUAGGAAAUAAAGCAGUCAACAACUAUUUUAUCCUCAUGCGCUGAUGGGUCUAAGGCUGAUGUCACAAAGAGAAAUUACUGAUGACCAUUUAUAGGUCAUUCAUUUAUUUAAGUGGUUCAUACCAUAUGCUCUGAAGUUGAACCACCUGGUUUUGCAUCCUGAUGGCUGUACUUACUGUGUAUGUAAUUUGGAGCAAGUUACUUCUCCUCUCUAUGCUUCCUUGCCCCAUAGUGUUGUUGUGAGAGCUCAAUAGAGGUCCUCCCUUUUAUGUAUUGAGAGCUGACAAAUAGCCAGUGGUAAGUAAGUUUUAGUUCUUAUUAUUUAAAAAUUAUUUUGGUGUCAUUAUUAUUACUGUGUGCCACAUGCUGUUGGAGGCGCUAGGGAUACAAUGGUAAGAAAGACACAAACGUAUUAACUAAACAAAUUUAUUUUAAGCCCCUAAUUGAGGUCCUAGACUCGGGGAACACAGCAUUGAGUCAAAAAGAACCCCCAUUCCUCCCUGAAAUCUCACAAAGUAGACAAAGAAUAAACAAAUGGGCAAAAACAUGAGUGGAAAAGUUGAGAAGGAUGAAGUAGGUAGCAGGAUAGAGGGUGAUGCGUGUAGGGACCUCCCUUCUCUGAUGUGGUAAUGUUUGAGCAGAAGUGAGUGGGGGACCCACUAUGGGAAUAUCUGGGGGGAGUUUUCUAGGUAGGGGACAGGAUAAGCAAAGUACAAAGUGCUAAACACCGAACAGACCAUGGCGCUGGGAGCACAGUGAUAAAGGGGAGAUAUCAGGAGAGGAGGGUAAGGAAGGCAUGGGGGAUAAACUGAGCAGAACUUGUACUUGACUAUAAAGACUUAGGUACUGACUCUGAGUGUGGUGGGAGCCACCAGGCAGAGGGGCGGAGCUGUCAGGCAGAGAAAUGACAUGAGCUAAUUCGUACCUUUAAAGGUCCCUCUGGAUACUCUGAGGAGAAAUAGGGUCAAGAGUCAAAGCAGGGAUAGCAACAAGGAUGUGGGUGCAAUGAUCCAGGUGAGAGUUUGUGAUGGCUUGGACUCAGAUGAAGGCCGGGUUAAUGAGCAGAAGCAUCUUCCCACAGGAUUUAUUUAGCAGAUCUGAUAAAUUUCUGAUAUUGGAGGUGAAGUUCACAUUCCACUAGAAGGCGUGGUCAAUGUCAACUUCUUGCUUCUGAGAGGUCAAGAAAGAUGAGAACAGAAAAGCAUUGGACUUGGAAAAAUGGUGGCCAUUGGUCAUCUUAAAUGCCAGAAAUUAGAGAAGAUGAAGAAAGGGAAUGGGGAUCAAAAUUUAGACCACUCCUUGGAGGAGCCUAGCUGUAAAAAGGAGAAAUAAUAUGAAGAAAUAAUAUUGAGGAAGAAAUCUAUGAAAUUUCACACAAGCUGGUGAGAGGGUAAAGAAAUAUAACUUGUAAUGCAGAAGAGAUCAGAGCUGCCCAUCU